AAAAAAGUCUGCUGCUAAAAAUAAUUUGAAAACUCCUGGACAAGAGGACCUUUCAAAUCCCUUCCAGCACUAACAGCCACUGAAUUCAUGCUUCACAGCCAUUCAGAUCUUCAAUCCCCGCAGGAGCACACCACGUGAGCCCAUUAGGAGAACAGUUCCUUCCCACCUGCCACCCGAGCCAGCCCACGAUCUCAGCUUCUCCACUCCACUCCUGAUCAUGGGCAGCCAUUCCAAUCCUGAGUGGCAGGGUUUGCAAAGACAGCUGUUGGGCUCCCCACACAUUUGGAGGAGGGGAAAAUGUGAGCCCGGAGGAGAAGCAAGGUCUUUACAUGCCCUGUUU